GGAGUAUGUUUAAAAUCAAAACGAUAAAGGGAAAAAAGAAGAAGAAAGAGAGACAUGGUAGCCUUGCCCCUGGCUUUGGCUGUGCACCCCCAAUUCAAAAAACGCUGGUGGUGAUUCACAAACAGCCAAAACCCAACCAACCAACCUUCCUCACCAGUCACACAGUAUUCAUGAAUAUUUUAAUUCUAACCCAAUAUAACUUUACUUCACCGGAGACGUAAAAGUCGCC
rnacentral:misc_RNA from 1 species